AUAUUUACCUGGACGGGGUCAAUGGAUAAUCAAUAAGGUCCAUGACCUAGGUUGAUGACCUUCAUUGCACUAUGAAGGGGUAUUAGCCUAAGGUCGGCUCAAGUGGUCAAGCCUAUGUCAUAAUUUGUGGAGUGGGGGCCUGCGUCCACGCGGCCCCUUC
rnacentral:snRNA from 2 species